rnacentral:rRNA from 1 species
UACGUAGGUGGCAAGCGUUGUCCGGAUUUACUGGGCGUAAAGCGCGCGUAGGCGGAACGAUCAGUCCGGUCUGAAAGCCCCCGGCUCAACCGGGGAGGGUGGCUGGAAACUGUCGUUCUUGAGGGCGAGAGAGGAGGGUGGAAUUCCUGGUGUAGCGGUGAAAUGCGUAGAGAUCAGGAGGAACACCCGUGGCGAAGGCGGCCCUCUGGCUCGACCCUGACGCUGAGGCGCGAAAGCGUGGGGAGCGAACAGG